GACGAACGCUGGCGGCGUGCUUAACACAUGCAAGUCGAGCGGUAAGGCCCUUUCGGGGGUACACGAGCGGCGAACGGGUGAGUAACACGUGGGUGACCUGCCCUCAGCUCUGGGAUAAGCCUGGGAAACUGGGUCUAAUACUGGAUAUGACUCCACGGUGCAUGUCGUGGGGUGGAAAGCCUUGUGCGGCUGAGGAUGGGCCCGCGGCCUAUCAGCUUGUUGGUGGGGUGAUGGCCUACCAAGGCGACGACGGGUAGCCGGCCUGAGAGGGCGACCGGCCACACUGGGACUGAGACACGGCCCAGACUCCUACGGGAGGCAGCAGUGGGGAAUCUUGCGCAAUGGGCGAAAGCCUGACGCAGCGGCGCCGCGUGA
rnacentral:rRNA from 1 species